rnacentral:rRNA from 1 species
GACGAACGCUGGCGGUGUGCUUAACACAUGCAAGUCGAACGGUAAGGCCCUUUCGGGGGUACACGAGUGGCGAACGGGUGAGUAACACGUGAGUAACCUGCCCUCAUCUCUGGGAUAACAGUCGGAAACGGUUGCUAAUACUGGAUAUGAGCCUGCAAGGCAUCUUGUGGGUUGGAAAGAUUUUUUGGUUGGGGAUAGACUCGCGGCCUAUCAGCUUGUUGGUGAGGUAGUGGCUCACCAAGGCUUCGACGGGUAGCCGGCCUGAGAGGGCGACCGGCCACAUUGGGACUGAGAUACGGCCCAAACUCCUACGGGAGGCAGCAGUGGGGAAUAUUGCACAAUGGACGGAAGUCUGAUGCAGCAACGCCGCGUGCGGGAUGACGGCCUUCGGGUUGUAAACCGCUUUCAAUUGUGACGAAGCUUUUUGUGACGGUAGCAGUAGAAGAAGCACCGGCUAACUACGUG